GACGAACGCUGGCGGCGUGCUUAACACAUGCAAGUCGAACGGAAAGGCCCUGCUUUUGUGGGGUGCUCGAGUGGCGAACGGGUGAGUAACACGUGAGUAACCUGCCCUUGACUUUGGGAUAACUUCAGGAAACUGGGGCUAAUACCGGAUAGGAGCUCCUGCUGCAUGGUGGGGGUUGGAAAGUUUCGGCGGUUGGGGAUGGACUCGCGGCUUAUCAGCUUGUUGGUGGGGUAGUGGCUUACCAAGGCUUUGACGGGUAGCCGGCCUGAGAGGGUGACCGGCCACAUUGGGACUGGGAUACGGGCCAGACUCCUACGGGGGGCAGCAGUGAGGAAUAGUGCAAGAUGGGCGGAAGCCUGAUGCAGCAACGCCGCGUGCGGGAUGACGGCCUUCGGGUUGUAACCCGCUUUCGCCUGUGACGAAGCGUGAGUGACGGUAAUGGGUAAAGAAGCACCGGCUAACUACGUG
rnacentral:rRNA from 1 species